CCUCAGGCUCCUUCCUACUGUCCGAGGGCCACCAGGCCGCCGGGGGCCUGCUGCGCCCGGGUAAGGGGCUCGCACUGCCGUCCGGGUAGCUGCUGUCAGGGCUCCCUGACUGGCUUGGGACUGAGAGACAGAGGUUGGGGGGCAGGAGGAGGGUUGGAUGGGGGCACGAGGGGCAGUGGGAGAGUGAGUGGGGCUGAGAGAGGCAGGAGGAACGGGACAGGAGGAGCGGCGGAUGGGGCACGCACAGAGUGCAAGACGCUGAGCAAUGCAGAUGCGUCUGUUACUAGAGUGGAGAGUCUACCUUCGUCUCACAUGUGCCACAAAGGAUGGCAUGGCCCGGGAGUGCCCCACCACGUGGCUUUCACCCCCUGCAAAGCCAGACUUCGCCCAGCGACACAGUGUCAAGCCCACAGCUCUCCAAGGAGGAAGAUGGUCCAGGCUGGGAGCAUCCCCUUAGCAGCAGCCUCUGGGAGGCUGUGUCUUACUCAUGCAGGGUGGUGGAGGGGCGCCUCUUAGCAGAAGAUGAUGAAAGGCUGUCCCCUCUCAGGAAGGAGAAGGUCCUUGUCUGUUCCAAGGCAAAGAACUGGACAAGAAGGAGGAGGUUCAUUCAGUACAUUGAGUCUGAUCCUCCCUGCUGUAGCUGGAGCACGGUCCCUGAAGCUGGCUGAAGUGCUAAAGCAGGGGCUA
rnacentral:lncRNA from 1 species